rnacentral:lncRNA from 1 species
ACCCCUUCUAUACCGACGAUAGUCUUAGAAACUCACAUAUUUGGGAGAAAAUGGACUGUUUCCCGAUUCUUGAAAUCCCGAAAGAAAUUUAAGCUUUUGUGGUUGAACGUGUGGUCGGUAACUCCUUCAGAGAUCUCUAUAGCCUUAGAGCAUCGUGAAAGUCGAUGAAAACAUUACUACUGAGUUAUUUAAAUGACAUGGCUAAGUUAUGCUUACAAAACAUGACUAUGCAAAGAAGUAGUAGAAUCAAAGUAUGUCCAUACCAACCCCAGAAACCACCAUAUUCCUCAAACACCACACCACACCUCACUCAUACAUCCGUCUCCUUUUCUCUCAGAUUCCGUCUUCAUUCCUUCAAAAUCUUUCUUCAACCGAGCAACGUUAAUUCUCAGCUCCGACAUGUAUUUGUUCAUGUCACUUAUCAAUGACUUCAUAUCUUCAAUCUCUU